rnacentral:rRNA from 1 species
AGCGUAGACGGAUGGACAAGUCUGAUGUGAAAAACUGGGGCUCAACCCCGGGACUGCAUUGGAAACUGCCCGUCUUGAGUGCCGGAGAGGUAAGCGGAAUUCCUAGUGUAGCGGUGAAAUGCGUAGAUAUUAGGAGGAACACCAGUGGCGAAGGCGGCUUACUGGACGGUAACUGACGUUGAGGCUCGAAAGCGUGGGGAGCAAACAAG